rnacentral:rRNA from 1 species
UACGUAGGGUGCAAGCGUUAAUCGGAAUACUGGGCGUAAAGCGUGCGCAGGCGGUGAUGUAAGACAGAUGUGAAAUCCCCGGGCUCAACCUGGGAACUGCAUUUGUGACUGCAUCGCUGGAGUGCGGCAGAGGGGGAUGGAAUUCCGCGUGUAGCAGUGAAAUGCGUAGAUAUGCGGAGGAACACCGAUGGCGAAGGCAAUCCCCUGGGCCUGCACUGACAGCUCAUGCACGAAAGCGUGGGGAGCAACAGG